CACGUAGUUAGCCGUGGCUUUCUGGUUAGAUACCGUCAGGGGACGUUCAGUUACUAACGUCCUUGUUCUUCUCUAACAACAGAGUUUUACGAUCCGAAAACCUUCUUCACUCACGCGGCGUUGCUCGGUCAGACUUUUGUCCAUUGCCGAAGAUUCCCUACUGCUGCCUCCCGUAGGAGUCUGGGCCGUGUCUCAGUCCCAGUGUGGCCGAUCACCCUCUCAGGUCGGCUAUGCAUCGUGGCCUUGGUGAGCCGUUACCUCACCAACUAGCUAAUGCACCGCGGGUCCAUCCAUCAGCGACACCCGAAAGCGCCUUUCACUCUUAUGCCAUGCGGCAUAAACUGUUAUGCGGUAUUAGCACCUGUUUCCAAGUUGUUACUCCCCUCUGAUUGGGUACGGUUACCCACGUCGUUACUCCUACCCCGUCCGCCACUUCCUCUUUCCAAUUGAGUGCAGCACGUGGGAGAAAGAGCGUUCGACUUGCAUGUAUUAGGCACGCCGCAGCGUCGUCUCG
rnacentral:rRNA from 1 species